rnacentral:lncRNA from 1 species
UCCAAUUCGGCCAGAUGUCAGCUGGACCUCAUGUAAUAUAACGCAAUAAAGGGAUGACACAAUCUUAUUAGAUGUCUAAAAUCUUGUAUAUUAAACAGAACACAUCAGUGUGAAACAAAUAGUCUUAGUUGAACUUUGAAUAAAAUGUCCCUGUCUUUGAAAUUAACGUGUUUGUGUAUUUUUGUCGGGAUAGUUCACGCAUUGGAGAAGCCAUGCUGCAUCAGCAACAAAUGGUUUGGUAAAAUAAAGACGACAACAGCAUCGUUAAGGAACGGAAGCACAAUUCCAACAGUUACAGACAAUAGAGUUAUGAUAGACCAUGACUUUGAUAUGAAAAUGGAACGGAUCUAUGGCAGUAUUCAUUCUGACGGCCCCACUGGAAUGAUGGCAUCAAACUAUACAGUUUACAACGACUAUAUGAAUGGUAAAAGGUAUGUUUUGAAUGAUGUGGGAAAUUAUUGCAACGUUACAAUGCUGGAAGCUGGAGCAGAAAUAAGCAAGACCUGUGUACCAAGUACUCUGCAGUAGGCAGCAAGGUACACGUAUGGAUCCGGUUCUGAGGCUUUACAUGUAAAUUCCUGGGAGGGAAUGUAUGAAAACUUUUACUACAGCAUUCAAACUGCAGUCAACGAUUGUACACCUGUAUCUUUGACCCGAACGGGAAUGAAUCCAGAUGGUGAAAGAAUAGUAGAAACUGUACUGUAUGUCGACAUUGUCCAGGAUCGACUUAGCGGUAAUGUAUCAGAUGUGUUUAGACUACCAGACGCUUGCAUGACGGUUGGAGUACCUAUCGGAAAGUAAAGUGACAACAAAUGUAAUCUGAAUGGACUGAAUUGUUUAAUUGUUAAACUUCUUGUAAAUAAAAAUAAAAUAAU